rnacentral:lncRNA from 1 species
UUUUUAUCUUUUCUUUAUUUUUUAUAAACGAUUUUUGGGAAGGAAAAUAAAGAUAGUAUCAGUACAUUUACUAAACAGGACCUUGAAUUAGGGCUUGUAGAACUCAAGUUCAUGGGUGAAGAACAAAAUUACCCAGAGGCAAAGAACAUCUUGAGAGGUCAUUGGACCCAUCUUUAUGGAUAAUAUAAGCCAGAAAAAAAGGACAUCUCCUAGAUAUUUCAGAAAAACACAAGGGACGGGCAUUGAGGCACACAUCUGUAAUCUCACCAUGUAGAAGGCUGAGGUAAGAGGAUCACCAUGAGUUCAAG